rnacentral:rRNA from 1 species
CCACCGAAAGGUGGUCUAAUACUUCAUAAUAUCCAUCUCGUAUGGAUUAAAGCUUUAUGCGCUUUGGGAGGGGCCUGCGUAACAUUAGCUUGUUGGUGAGGUAAAAGCUCACCAAGGCUUCGAUGUUUAACUGGUUGAGAGGAUGACCAGUCACACUGGGACUGAGAUACGGCCCAGACUCCUACGGGAGGCAGCAGUAAGGAAUCUUCCACAAUGGGGGCAACCCUGAUGGAGCAAUACCGCGUGCAGGAUGAAGCGUUUCGGCGUGUAAACUGCUUUUAUCACCGAAGAUUAUGACUGUAGGUGAAGAAUAAGGACCGGCUAACUACGUG